GGGGGUGGAUAGGUGCCGGUGUGCCUACUGGUCUUCAACACCAGCUUGAGGGGUUUGUAGCCUCUUAGGUGGGUUCGACUCCCACGCACUCCCGCCA
rnacentral:tRNA from 1 species